rnacentral:rRNA from 1 species
AGCCCAACGAGAUCGGGAUAACACCUGGAAACAGAUGCUAAUACCGGAUAACAACAGAUGAUGCCUAUCAACUGUUUAAAAGAUGGUUCUGCUAUCACUCUUGGAUGGACCUGCGGUGCAUUAGCUAGUUGGUAGGGUAACGGCCUACCAAGGCGAUGAUGCAUAGCCGAGUUGAGAGACUGAUCGGCCACAUUGGGACUGAGACACGGCCCAAACUCCUACGGGAGGCAGCAGC